AGCGAACGCUGGCGGCAGGCCUAACACAUGCAAGUCGAACGAACUCUUCGGAGUUAGUGGCGGACGGGUGAGUAACACGUGGGAACGUGCCUUUAGGUUCGGAAUAACUCAGGGAAACUUGUGCUAAUACCGAAUGUGCCCUUCGGGGAAAGAUUUAUCGCCUUUAGAGCGGCCCGCGUCUGAUUAGCUAGUUGGUGAGGUAAAGGCUCACCAAGGCUACGAUCAGUAGCUGGUCUGAGAGGAUGACCAGCCACAUUGGGACUGAGACACGGCCCAAACUCCUACGGGAGGCAGCAGUGGGGAAGUCUUGCGCAAUGGGCGAAAGCCUGACGCAGCCAUGCCGCGUGGAUGAUGAAGGUCUUAGGAUUGUAAAAUCCUUUCACCGGUGAAGAUAAUGACUGUAGCCGGAGAAGAAGCCCCGGCUAACUUCGUGCCAGCAGCCGCGGUAAU
rnacentral:rRNA from 1 species